ACUGACGGUGCGUUUAAGAGCCCGCAAGGAGGUAAGCAUCUCCGUAUUGGCACGAAGGGUGGAGAAUGUCUCAUGGCACUGCUCCUACAUAAUGGGGUCUAUUGGGUUUGGUCUUUGGAGUCUCGACAAAUUGAGGUUGCAGACGGCACAGGGACAGGGACAGGAGAUGCAGCUCCCUUCACUGCAGAUUUAUGCAUGCAUUGUACGUGUGUCUUCUCUCCUGCUGGAUGAUGUAUAUCUUCCUGCAUUGUUCUUUCAGAACUUGUUAUUUUUUAUUACCCAUGAAGCGGACAACCUUGCAGUGGAGAUAGAGAAGCAUAUGGUUGCCCGCUUCUCUGUUUUGGAGCUAUAUCUCACAACAAUUGGGCAUGUUUAUGGAGCGCUCAUGUUUCAUCUCCUUGAGAUGAAUCGAGUUCAUAGAUAAAUGCAGAGGCUUAAGGUCGUCCUAUGUAGAUCAACGGAGUAGAAAGAAGCAUGCGAAGCAGAUUGUCCUUGUGAGCCUACCAACUGGAAAACACAAACCAUCUGCUUGACUGCUCUCGAAGAAGUUGAGAUCGACGGCUUUGAAGGAGAAGGUCAUGAACUUGAUUUCCUGAAACUGAUAUUAAGAUGUGUGCCGAAUCUUAGAAGAUUGGUUCUGAAGCUGCCGGACGAUGUCUUCUCGUUAGGGAAGGACGCAUGCAACGGAUUAUUCAAAACCUUGAGUGGUGCGUAUUCUCCCAUGGAAUGCCAUAUCUAUCUUGGCUCUGGCCAGGUAUGUUGUGCAUGUAUAAUUAGCAUGCUUCCUAGGUGCAACAGGGACAUACAUGACUGUGUCUGUAUGUGAAUCUUUUAAGUGUCGUCUAAACCUAAACUCAAGCCGUGAGUGCUGUUCGUAUUGAGACCUGGAGGGUGGAUGGAAUGUGGUUAAAAUUUGGAACUUUAAAACUUCCUCAUUUCCUGUUGCAUUCUGUUCUGGAACCCUUUUUUUUUAAUGCGGGCGUCUUCGCUGUUGUGCUUUAUACAAUCUGCUGUGGCAUUCUGUUUUGCACCUCUGUUCAGUAUAGCCAAUAAAAGAGUUUCAAGAUUAGCUGGUGUCGUCUAAUCUGAAUUCCAUUGGCCUUCAGCUUCGGCAGAAACUUAAAUUCCGUUAAGUUUAUGCUGUCAGCUUGUGCUGUAUACGCUAUUUGGGCCCUGGCCCAAGUGCUAAAGAGCCCACCGGGAGUCCGAGACGGACUCCGCCAGGGUGAUUCGGUGUGCCUAUAUCAAGAUUCAAAACCACCUCCUUCCUCCCAGAUCGAAAUUCGAAACCCUCCAACAAAUCCAUCCCAGAUCAAGAAUUCGAGACCCUCCAACACGAACCCUAGAAAAAAAAAAUCCCCCUCUCUGUCUCGGCGAAAAACCCCAUCCCUCAGCCUGAUCAAGCCCACCAAUGGCGGCCGAUAGCAAGAAGACGAGCUCUACCUCCACCAACAACACGAGGAAGCCAAAGCAGCGGCGGCGGACUGGUCCGGCGACGGUGACAGUUCGCCGGAUCAAGCCCCUGAUGACGCGCUGGUCGAUCCAGAAGGUCCUGGAGCGCGAGAGGCGGCCUUUCGCCAUGGCCAAGGGCCGCUUCUUCGACGAGCUGAGCCCGGAGGAGAAGAUGGAGGCGGCCGCGGAGCAGGAGAAGGAGGAGGACGAGUCCAGGCGUUCCGGGCCAAGGUCCGCGCCGAGUUCCUCGCCACCCCACCGGGUUCGUCUCGUACCCCGUCCCCGAAGAGUUCAGGCUGGAGAUCCCUCUGGGAAUGGCAGUCAGCAGAGAAGUCCUGGAUUCGCGGUUCGAGAUUGGUUGCCGAGUCCUCGAGUCGCGGACGGAUCUUGGUUGUGUAGCGGUGAAACUGUAAAAAGAAAAGAAAAAAUGUAAACGAUUCAGGGAUGCUACUCGAUCCCUGAUUGUCGUGAUGUAUUUGGUCGUAAGAACUAGAUGAAAUAUAAUGUAAUGGAACCGUGCUGCUUUUCCAACAAGAAUGGGACGGAACCAACUGGUGCAACCAAAGAGAAUAUUUCCCUUGUACGCGGAACCGUCCGGUGACUUUCUCGUCUCCCGUGACUCUCCUUCUCGUCUCCCCUCCUCACCUCACCUCCUCUCCCGAAACUCGGACCCGGAUCGUCUAACGUGAAAGAGGGAAGUCAGAACUGAACGGAAAUCUGCCGUUGGCUGCACGUGAAAUCCAUCCAACGAGCCUGGCGAGUCCUCGAUUGUUCUCGGUCCAUGGCGCGCAAACAAAGAGCUCCACAGCGCGCGAAAUCCUUAGAUGGCUCCUCGCCUUCUUGUUUUUCUGGCGCCAAAACAAAGGCGUGGUUGAUCAUCUAAACUUGGACGGCGGAAGAAGCCGACGGCUCAGAGCACCGCACGUCGCCACCGCCGCCGAACUGCGCUCCGUUGUUACUGCCGUCGUUGUAGACCUAUAGUUGCUGUCAACUGCUCUCGAUCUCCAAUAAGGUAAACGACGAUGAGAUCGUUGGCUUUUCUUUUUCUCAUCUUCUUCCUUGGACUUCCUUCUUCCUCUCACCUUGUUUCCUACUCUUGCUUGUUUUCUUCGUCAGACCAGUACAUCGAAUUGUUAAAACCAUUAUGGAUAGCGAGAUCAACGAGGAAAAGCAGGCCAUGGCCGGUUCGAACGGAACAAAUGACAUACCAAGUUGGGUACCACAAAUUGGCAUGAAGUUCAACACUUUGGAUGAGGCUUGGUAUUUUUGGCAGCAUUACGGGGGUAGGAUUGGGUUUGGUGUCAGGAAGAGAUACUCAAAUGUAAGCAAGUUUGAUGGAACAAUUACUUCAAGCAGAUUUGUGUGUCGUAAAGAGGGUCUUUGGGCAAAAGACAAAAGAGAUAAGCACAUUAAGCAACCUCGAGCAGAAAUUAGGACCAAUUGCCAAGUUCGUAUGAGUCUUACAAUAGACCGAGAACUUGGAAAUUAUGAAGUUUAUGAUUUUGAUCUUGUACACAACCACAUGUUGCAGCUGCAAGAAACAUGCCACCUCAUGCCAUCACAGCGAAAAAUAUCUGAAAUUCAAGCUAUCGAGAUCGACAUUGCUGAUGAUUCAGGCAUUCAGCCCAAAGCUGCACAUGAGGCAGCUAGCCGGCGAGUUGGUGGAUCAUCCUUUAUUACCUAUACUCGCCAGUAUCACAAAAAUUACUUGCGUACCAAGCGCCAAAGGGAGCUAGCAUAUGGUGAAGCAGGGAGUAUGUUGAAGUAUUUUUCAAGAUAGAAUUGCUGAGAACACAUCAUUCCAAUAUGCCAUACAAUUGGACUGUGAAGAGCAGAUCACAAAUAUAUUUUGGGCUGAUGCUAAGAUGAUAAUCGAUUAUGCUCAUUUCGGUGAUGUUAUAACUUUUGACACUACUUUUGGAACAAAUAAAGAACAUAGGCUGUUUGGUGUA